GGCAGAUGAAGCUUCAUGAAGCACUGAAGCUUUUCAUCCAAUUGGUUCACCCCAGCGCAAAGCAUCUUGAAGCUUCAUUUGCUCUAGUAGGACAUCUACUGGACGUAAAAAUAUUAGUUGGCAUGAAUUUGAAGAGUGUGGCAUUUUGCACACAGCCUGUAAAUGUCAACAACAAAAGGAGUGUGUAAAACAUGUAUAUUGUAGUGAUGGCAGUAUACUGUGUAUAUUUAUACUGGCAGUAUGGAAAAUGAUUAUUUGGAAAUGCUUAAAAUGGAAAUGAUCAUUUACUGUGAGGUGAGGUGUGGUUGGGGUAUGGACAGCUACACACUGAGGCUUUGAGCCUCAGUCCUGCCUGUUCACAUUUUAUUCUGUAAAAAC